CAUGCUUUUACAGUAUGAAAAUUGGUGAUUUAUAAUAACUUAGCAAAUCUUUUAGUGAAAACAGGCGAUAAAUCAUUCAAGUUUCUGAUUUAUCACCUUUUAACGGUAUGGUAUUGGCUUACCGUGGCAGUGACGGUUAACGGGGGAUUAGGGUUCGAUUCCGGAGAGGGAGCCUGAGAAACGGCUACCACAUCUAAGGAAGGCAGCAGGCGCGCAAAUUACCCAAUUCUAACAGUUUGAGAGAGGUAGUAACAAGAAAUAACAAUACAAGGCAGUUAAAAUGCUUUGUAAUUGGAAUGAUAGAAAUUUAAACCCUUUUUAAAGUAUCAAUUGGAGGGCAAGUCUGGUGCCAGCAGCCGCGGUAAUUCCAGCUCCAAUAGCGUAUAUUAAAAUUGUUGCAGUUAAAAAGCUCGUAGUUGAAGUUCUGCUGAAAGUAACCGGUCUGCUUUUAAUAAAAGUGGUAUCUUGGUAUGUAUUUAGCAAUGAUGUCCUUUGAAGUGUUUUUUACUUUAUUGUAAUAAAGCAUAUUCAGGACUUUUACUUUGAGAAAAUUAGAGUGUUUCUAGCAGGCUGACGCUUUGAAUACUGCAACGAACGUUUUUUGGGGUUUGUGGGU
rnacentral:rRNA from 1 species